rnacentral:rRNA from 1 species
UCAGGUCUCCAAGGUGAACAGCCUCUGGCCAAUGGAACAAUGUAGGCAAGGGAAGUCGGCAAAACGGAUCCGUAACUUCGGGAAAAGGAUUGGCUCUGAGGACUGGGCUCGGGGGUCCCGGCCCCGAACCCGUCGGCUGUCGGCGGAUUGCUCGAGCUGCUCACGCGGCGAGAGCGGGUCGCCGCAUGCCGGCCGGGGGACGGACCGGGAAUCGCCCCUUCGGGGGCUUUCCCCGAGCAU